UGGCCACAGCUUGUUACCAAGCCGCUGCUCGCUCACAGCGCAUGCGCAGGAGCCAAGGGAGGCGCGUGGGUGCCGCUGCGUUGCGCCUUGCCGGAGGUCGGAGAACAGCUGCUCAUCACACUUACCAGCUGUUACUCAGGGGCAGGGAGACCAUUGGGAAGCCCCCUCCCCCACCCCAACACCUCCUCACCCAGGGUGACCAGACGUCCCGACAACACCAGGACUGUCCCCACAUGUAGCUGUUCGUCCCGUGUCCUGACUGAAGUGUGGUCACGACGCCGUUUGUCCCGACAGUGGGCGCAGGACUGGACUGGUCACCCUAGCGGGCAGGCUCCCGGCCUGGCUCUGCACAGCUCCUAGGAAGCGUCUGCUCUCCCUGGUGUGAAACUGCUCAGUCAACCGUAUCUGCUACAAAUGCCAGCAUUGCUCUUGGCGGGAGUAGAUGGGAGGUAGUGGAUCUCCUGAGCCUGUAGGAAGUGGUGGCUGUGCAGAUACAGCUUUUGACCAGUUGAAAACCAUGCACAUCUAUUGCACAGGGGAUGGAGGUGAAGUGAUACAACAAGUAACAGCAGCAGCACCGGAAAGAAAGGAACUGUGGCAGGUAGACCAUUGGCUAACAACUGAGCUGGUGCUGAGCCACAAACAUGCUGCUUUUACAAUGACCUGCAUACCAUACUUGGCAGAGAUACAACCCCCCACCCCCAGCAUUAUGGAUACCUCUCGGGAGCCUGACAGACACAGAAGGGAAAAGGAAUGUCAGCUGCUGCUGCUGCGGUCUUGAGUGGUCCCCCUCCACACCUGUGAAAUGCCUGACCUUGAUGAGGGAAGAGAAAGAAGCGGACUAAGGAGGAUGUGUUGUCAGCAAAAUCCUGCAAGCCAGUGAUGCAUCGGACUGUGAAAAGGGGGCCUACAGUGUGAAUAUGGCAGACAGCCUGAAGAAGGAAAGAGUGGACAGGGAAAAGACCCAGCAGGAAAAAGAGAGGGAGAUGCACCAGGACAUAAUGCGGCUUCUUAAGCAGCAAACACAAAUGCUGCAGACUCUUGUUGACAUACAUGCAGAGGCAAUGCUAGAAUAACUAGUUUGGGAAAGUGAAGGGGUGGUGAAUACAAUUAUUGGGGGAGCAAGGAUUUUGCUACACAUACUUCAUAGAAUGGGAAUAAAUAAUAUUGAUAACAAUUUGUUUACCUUAUUGAAACUCAAUACGCUUGUUGUGAGCAACAACAAAUGUCAACAACUGUCUUUAGAUCAAGAGACAACUUUUUUCAAUACCCAUGACAGCUAAGUUCCUUAACAAAUCACUUGUCAUGCUGUUCCUUGGGUAAUCUUUCACCUGUGAAAGGCAUGAAAAUGUUCUUUCACAUGUAGCACUUGAUGGAGGAAUACUCACAUGAGUCACAAAUAAUUUAUGCAGUCUGUGAAAUAGAAGUUUGUAUUUAUCAAAACAAUUAGCAGCUGCAACAAACCCUCAAUCUUUGAUUUCUUCAUAGAAUUUAAUUACUUUUGGCAAGAGUUUUACCUCCGUCUAUAUUGCAUCCAUAGUACUCUGCAAGUGAUUUUAAUUUUAGGGCAGUCAAGAAAGUUAUCGGAUUUUGGAUUAAGGUAAUUGAUACCAACAAGAAUAGAUUUAUUUCCAGAAAAGCUUUGCAGUUCUCCAGUUACUUUUUUUUCAAGCAAUGGCAAAAAGGCAUGUUUCCUGAAGUCUCUAUCUAAAAGUGUUCUCCUCUUGACACUUCUUCAGUCCAAAUGUAUUCCUGAUGUUUUUCAGGCUACUUUCGUACAUGACUGUGUAGUCCCCGAACUUCAGGUGGCUUCAGACCAUUUUCUGAUGCUAUGUUAACAGCUUCACUCCAUAGUUCAUCAAAUGCUUCUUCCAAAUCUCUCAUGUUCAGAAAUUCACUGAUUAGGGUGUUCAUAGAAAAGCAUGCCUGAGACAAGUCACACUCCUGCUUGCAAAUAGUCAGUUAUAACAUUAAGCAGUUGAAGUAUUCUUUGAACAUGCAAAGAAGGACAAUAAACUUGCAGUCUUGAUACUGACUUAAGACCUCGAGCACUCAUUGCCCUGGCCCCUCCUGACAUAUCUCAAGAUAGUACAGCAAGUGUCACAAGAAUGGAUGAAAUUGUCUUUUUGACAGCAUUAUAAGCAGAAACUUGGCAUGCCCAUCAAGUGUCACAGAGCUUCUUCAAUUCAAAGACUUGAUGUUUGGGUUGUAUUUUCUUUGGAAUGGCUAUGAAUUUAGCGUGUAUAGCUGAUCCAGAGAGAAAAGUGUGCAAUUUCUCCAGCAUAGUGAAACAAUUCAGCACGUGAUUCCUUUGCAUAUAUGAACAAUAACUAAAUUGAGCCUGUGGUUGAAAUAGUGAAUGCAUAAUGCUUGAGGUACUUCUUCCCGUAAGAGCUUGCACGCCAUUAGGAUUUCCACUCAUAAAAAAUUGGCACCAUAGUAAGUCCGGGCACUACAGUUCUGUAUAUCAAUACCACACCGUGACAAUGUGUUCUUCAUGUACUGAAAGUGUGACUUUGCAUCAAGUGACUUGGCAGGAUGGAAGCCAAGAAAUCUUUCAUAUACAGUGCCAUGCAAAUAAUACUUCAACAAAACUAACACUUGUUCUACUUUGCUAAUGUCUUUAGUUUCAUUAACCAUUACGGAGAAAACAUUCAGCUCUUUCACUUCUUGGCUUCUG